rnacentral:rRNA from 1 species
AAUGGGGGAAACCCUGAUGCAGCCAUGCCGCGUGUGUGAAGAAGGCCUUCGGGUUGUAAAGCACUUUCAGCAAGGAGGAAAGGUUAGUAGUUAAUACCUGCUAGCUGUGACGUUACUUGCAGAAGAAGCACCGGCUAACUCCGUGCCAGCAGCCGCGGUAAUACGGAGGGUGCGAGCGUUAAUCGGAAUUACUGGGCGUAAAGCGUACGCAGGCGGUUUGUUAAGCGAGAUGUGAAAGCCCCGGGCUCAACCUGGGAACUGCAUUUCGAACUGGCAAACUAGAGUGUGAUAGAGGGUGGUAGAAUUUCAGGUGUAGCGGUGAAAUGCGUAGAGAUCUGAAGGAAUACCGAUGGCGAAGGCAGCCACCUGGGUCAACACUGACGCUCAUGUACGAAAGCGUGGGGAGCAAACAGGAUU